rnacentral:ncRNA from 1 species
AAGGGCGAAGCCGAAAACCCAAUAGAGUAGGCA